UUUAACAACUUGUUUGGAUAGGUGGAAAAAGGAGAGAAAAGAAAAUUACAGAGGGAAAAUAACUUUGAACAUCUAUUUUCCUCUAUUUGGAUAAGAAAGGAAAAUAGGGGAGAAGAGAAAAAUUUGGCAUAUUUUUCUCUGGAUAUUUUCUCUCUAAAUCAUAGAGAAAAUGAGAAAUUAGAGGGGAAAAGGGAUCUUUGACCUGUUAAAUUACAUACUUGCCCUUGUUUUUUAUCUAUCGUGUAUCCAUAAGUUAUUGGAGAGUUUUUCCUUUUCUCAUAAGUGAGGGUUUGCUGAAGAAAAAGUGUCCAAGUCCAACAUCUUCCACAAAAUUCCUUCCCAUCUACCACUGUAUAAAUGACUCAAGAUUCUCCUUUUAGCAUUGAUCUCCCUUAAUUGGGUUAUUCUUUCGAUUCAAACGUAUUGGAGACUAACUAGCGCUUGUUGAAGAUCAUCACCUCUAUUACCAGUGAUUUCCACGCAGUACCAUACUCAUACUUUCCAUUACCUCUGCUUAUUGAAGAAGUCACUACAAAAGAAAACUUCAUUCAAGUCCUGAUUAACAAGAAAAUAGCUAUGAUAGUAUGAUAAAUAAUGCCAAGGAGAGAAAAAAAUUCCAAACCAAGAAAUUUCAAUAUCGGGGAAAAAUCAUGUAGUUUGGACAAAUGAAUGGAUGAUGUGUUGAUAAAUGCUAUGUUGGAAGAAGAACAUAAAGGGAAUCGGCCUGAAGGAACAUGGAAUACUAGAGCUUUUGACAAUAUGUUACAAGUGUUAAGGGCAACAUUUCGCCCUCUUAUUCAUAAAUCUAAGAUUAAGAAUCAAAUGAAGACCUUAAAGUGAACCUUUGUCGAGUGUAAGGAUUUAUAUCAUGGUCUUAGUGGCUUUGCUUGGAAUCCUGUAAUAAAAUUGUUUGAAGCUACUUUUGAUGUUUGGGAGUAAUUAAUUUAGGUAAAACUUCUAAUAUUUCUAAAAACUAUUAAGUUAAAGAUUAGUAGUGUAUUUUAUA